rnacentral:lncRNA from 1 species
AAUAGUUAGACGGUAUGGAAUCAUUAGAUUCGUUAUCACGCUUAUCCAGUCCAACCAGGCUGGCUUUUCAACUGGGCUUGAGGAGGCUAUCUUGUUUACCCGAAAUCUACUCACUUAUACUAACGGGCACUGAGACUGGCUUUCGAAAACACUCGUAUCAGGGAUGAGAAAGUACGGACUUGAGAGUACGGGUCUUUUUCUUCCUUACAUUAGCGCUACCGGCUGGAAAGGCUGUGGAAUGACUUCUCGCUCAUUUAUCUAAGGUAAGGGCGAUGAACCCCGCCUCCCCUAUCAUAUCUUAGGGGUCUUCCCCUGUCGGGUAUAUAGGGGGUUUAGUACCUUUCGCAAAGCUAUGUCGUAUUUGAAGUAGAGUGAGACCUCUGUCUUGCUUGAACUUGAACUCUCUUGUCGAAAGGAAAGCUAAACGAUCGGGCUUGGCUUCCAACCAAUGCUUCCCCUCCCCUUCCAAUAGACCAACUCGCUUUUCAAGAUACAUCCGCCCUUCCCGGGCUUGCUACUCUUGGCAGGAAAGCUCUAGGACUCAAGGCACCACGUAUCUAAACCGGAAAAUUGAAUGGCUAUCCAAAGUACCCUUGCUUGCCCAGUUUUGAACAUAGAAGUUAGAAUCUAUUUUAUAUAUAUAUAUUCACUUCCCUUUUUUAAGCAUAUUCAAAAAAGGAGGAAAAGAGUUGGUUGGGAGAGAGGAUCAGCCUCAGCUCCAUAAGCCUUAGCAUGUUCAACCGAGAACCAAUCCUAGUGUUUUCAAUCAGUGCAUUGGUAGCCGAAGCAUUCAACCCUAUCUGUAACCCCUAUGAUCGAGCGCCUGUAUCUGAAGUGUUGAGCGCUUUAUCCAUAUAUAUAUACGUAGAAACCACUUGUUUCGGGAUAAAAAAAACCCGUUAUAUUCAUUUGACCUAUUGUGAAAGUCGAGUGCAUUUAUAACUAACUGAGGUUGGGUCGAGCCCAGCCCUCUUUCUUUCAUUUUCUUAAAAAAGAGAAGGGCGCUCAACAAGCGAUUUUCAAAAGGUUAGUUAAUUGCUUCUCAUUGAAACAAAGAAAUCUUUUGAAAAGUAAUGAAUAGCGGGCCGAUUGAACGAGAUUGAAGCUGCAGCCACCGUGUCAUUCGUGGGUUGGUUCGGUUCAUUCUUCUCUUCCUCUAUUCUGGAAGCGGACAGCUAUAAGGAAAUUGGAAUAAGCAAGUUCGGAUUCUCACUCAAAUUCAUUCUUCCUUAGGCUAGAGCUAUUGAAUAUGGCAGUUCUAUUCCAGGCCAGAGGAAGAGGAGAGAGAGAGCACUUGACCAACUCUGCACUGCCUCGGAUGAGAACAAGUUUUGGGGAACCGGGCUACUGUAACCGAGAAAACUCCCUGCUUGACUUAGUGCGCGAAAGAGCUUUAUUUAGAAUUAGAGUAAGGGCACGCUAAGACAUUCCUUUUCGUGCUUUCGAUCUGCUUACUUUGAAUAAAGAUAAAUAAUAGGCGUAAAGGCUCUACUUAUUGAAGUUCAUCUUUCGCGUAGCAUGGUGGGUGGGCGAAGGUAUCUUCUCUCUUCAAGUCUUAAAGGUAUAAGUUCAGAUUGAACAAUUUCACCUUAGAAAAAAGCCGUAUUAGCUAGAAAGCCAAUAGCAAGACGCUAGCAAGCCAACCUGUAAUCCAGCAAGCAUGUGAAGGUGGGAAUAGAUUAAAGCGAUCGGGCGGAGGCGGGAACCUUUCCAUCCA